rnacentral:rRNA from 1 species
UACGGGGGGAGCAAGCGUUGUUCGGAUUUACUGGGCGUAAAGGGCGCGUAGGCGGCCACCGCAAGUCGACUGUGAAAUCUCCGGGCUUAACCCGGAAAGGUCAGCCGAUACUGCGGGGCUAGAGUGCAGAAGGGGCAACUGGAAUUCUCGGUGUAGCGGUGAAAUGCGUAGAGAUCAGGAGGAACACCCGGGGCGAAGGCGGCCCUCUGGCUCGACCCUGACGCUGAGGCGCGAAAGCGUGGGGAGCGAACGGG